CCUACGGGAGGCAGCAGUGAGGAAUAUUGGUCAAUGGGCGCAAGCCUGAACCAGCCAAGUCGCGUGAGGGAUGACGGUCCUAUGGAUUGUAAACCUCUUUUGUCGGGGAGCAAGGCCCGCCACGUGUGGCGGGAAGGAGAGUACCCGAAGAAAAAGCAUCGGCUAACUCCGUGCCAGCAGCCGCGGUAAUACGGAGGAUGCGAGCGUUAUCCGGCUUUAUUGGGCGUAAAGAGUUCGUAGGCGGUAUGUUAAGUCUGGUGUUAAAUGCAGAAGCUCAACUUCUGUUCGGCACUGGAUACUGGCAAACUAGAAUGCGGUAGAGGUAAAGGGAAUUCCUGGUGUAGCGGUGAAAUGCUUAGAUAUCAGGAGGAACAUCGGUGGCGUAAGCGCUUUACUGGGCCGUAAUUGACGCUGAGGAACGAAAGCCAGGGUAGCAAAUGGGAUUAGAUACCCUUGUAGUC
rnacentral:rRNA from 1 species